UUAUUGCUCAAGAAUACCCUU
rnacentral:miRNA from 1 species